rnacentral:rRNA from 1 species
UUCCAGACUCCUACGGGAGGCAGCAGUGAGGAAUAUUGGUCAAUGGGCUUACGCCUGAACCAGCCAAGUCGCGUGAGGGAAGACUGCCCUAUGGGUUGUAAACCUCUUUUGUCAGGGAGCAACGCCGGCUACGUGUAGCCGGACUGAGAGUACCCGAAGAAAAAGCAUCGGCUAACUCCGUGCCAGCAGCCGCGGUAAUACGGAGGAUGCGAGCGUUAUCCGGAUUUAUUGGGUUUAAAGGGUGCGCAGGCGGAGGUGCAAGUCAGCGGUCAAAUUGCGGGGCUCAACCCCGUACUGCCGUUGAAACUGGCAGUCUCGAGUUGGAGAGAAGUAUGCGGAAUGCGCGGUGUAGCGGUGAAAUGCAUAGAUAUCGCGCAGAACUCCGAUUGCGAAGGCAGCAUGCCGGCUCCACACUGACGCUGAGGCACGAAAGCGUGGGUAUCGAACAGGAUUAGAUACCCUCGUACUC